rnacentral:lncRNA from 1 species
CUGUAAUCUUCCAUCUACCUACUCAGACACCAAACUGUCCCUCUUUUAGCCACAGCCAGAUCCCCUGAGGUCCUCAGAUACCAGCAUUAACCACAAAUACGCUGGGAUUGCAUGUUCUCAGGUCAGAAUCCAGACUAACAAUCCAGAAAUUGUCGGAGUGGAACCCAGCUCUCCAGACUUCAACAGCCUGCCCCAGGGAUUCUGCUGGAAGCUGAAGUUGAGAAUCCUGUACUGCUGCCUUGUUUUCCAUAAGGUUAGGCUAACACAUGGGCUGGGUGUGAACCUGGGCCAGGCAUCCUUUUAGCCAUACAAAUAUUAACUCAGGGAAGUUCACAAAUGACUCCGUGAGAAAACCUAAUGAAGUGGAGGUGCACAGUGGCAGAGGAAACCAGGCAGCUUUGAGCAGCCAAAAGGAUUCUAGAGUCAAGCUCUUCUGGGCUGAGACAAAAAUCCCCAGCAGUGUGUCUGGCUCCUAGAGGACAUUCUGGGCCUGGCUGAGAAUGCGGUCCUACAGGUGGCAUUACCUCACCUGAGAGAGACGAUGGCCCCCGUUCUCUGAGAUCUGCUGCUUUGUCAAGACUGAGGUAUAUGUCAUCUGCAACGCCAACUUCAGUGUCUGGAACCCUGGGGAAUGUUAGCCUCGCCCUGCACCAGGCCACAAACUCAAAAUGACAUCCUGGGCUUUUGAAACACCUCACUAUACGGGACACAGAGUAGUGGUCUCUCACAGGGAGCUGGGACCUCAGUUUGACCUCUCCGAACCUCUGUUUCUUCUUCUAUGAAGUGAAGGGCAAUAGUUGUAAAUCCACAGGGCUUCUGUGAGAGCCAAGACUCAGGCACAAGGGGGAUCUAUACAGAGACAGUUGGCAUGGCGGCUGAAGCUCAAAUCACAGCUGGCAGAGCCGGACUGAGCUUAGGCCUGAGUGGACCUACUUCCUGUAUGGAGACUGAGGCACGAGUCCAUGUAAAUACUUGCUGUUAAUGGAAUUCUGCUACUUUGCAAAGGCCAGAGACCCCUGUGAUGCCCCAGAGUCAUCAUAUAGACAAGGGGAUCUUAGGAAGAGAGCCGGGCUCUUCAAGAGUUGUGGGUCGGGGCUGGAG